rnacentral:rRNA from 1 species
AGAAUUCAGUGAAUCAUCGAGUCUUUGAACGCACAUUGCGCCCUCUGGUAUUCCGGAGGGCAUGCCUGUCCGAGCGUCAUU